rnacentral:rRNA from 1 species
UACAGAGGGGGCAAGCGUUAUUCGGAAUUAUUGGGCGUAAAGGGCGCGUAGGCGGCCUGACAAGUGGAAGGUGAAAUCCCUCGGCUUAACCGAGGAACUGCCCUCCAAACUGUUUGGCUUGAGACCGGGAGAGGUGAGUGGAAUUCCCAGUGUAGCGGUGAAAUGCGUAGAUAUUGGGAGGAACACCAGUGGCGAAGGCGGCUCACUGGACCGGUACUGACGCUGAGGCGCGAAAGCGUGGGGAGCAAACGGG